AUAAGCGCACACGGUGGAUGCCUAGGCGGUCAGAGGCGAUGAAGGACGUGGUAGCCUGCGAAAAGUGUCGGGGAGCUGGCAACAAGCUUUGAUCCGGCAAUAUCCGAAUGGGGAAACCCACUGCUUCGGCAGUAUCUUGCAGUGAAUUCAUAGCUGCUUGAAGCGAACCCGGUGAACUGAAAUAUCUAAGUAACCGGAGGAAAAGAAAUCAACCGAGAUUCCCUGAGUAGUGACGAGCGAACGGGGAACAGCCCUUAAGCUGGAAUGGCUUUAGAAAAACAAUCUGGAAAGAUUGGCCAUAGAAGGUGAUAGCCCUGUAUUUAAAAGGGCCACUCCAGUGAAGACGAGUAGGGCGGGGCACGUGAAACCCUGUCUGAAUAUGGGGGGACCAUCCUCCAAGGCUAAAUACUCCUGACCGACCGAUAGUGAACCAGUACCGUGAGGGAAAGGCGAAAAGAACCCCGGAGAGGGGAGUGAAAUAGAUCCUGAAACCGUGUGCGUACAAGCAGUAGGAGCUCUCAAGAGUGACUGCGUACCUUUUGUAUAAUGGGUCAGCGACUUACUGUUCGUGGCAAGCUUAACCGUAUAGGGGAGGCGAAGGGAAACCGAGUCUGAUAAGGGCGCAUAGUCGCGGGCAGUAGACCCGAAACCGGGUGAUCUAGUCAUGGCCAGGGUGAAGGUGCCGUAACAGGUACUGGAGGCCCGAACCCACGUCUGUUGCAAAAGACGGGGAUGAGCUGUGAUUAGGAGUGAAAAGCUAAUCGAACCCGGAGAUAGCUGGUUCUCCUCGAAAGCUAUUUAGGUAGCGCCUCGGACGAAUACUACUGGGGGUAGAGCACUGUUAUGGCUAGGGGGUCAUCGCGACUUACCAAACCAUUGCAAACUCCGAAUACCAGUACGUACUAUCCGGGAGACACACGGCGGGUGCUAACGUCCGUCGUGAAAAGGGAAACAACCCAGACCCACAGCUAAGGUCCCAAAUUCACUGCUAAGUGGAAAACGAUGUGGAAAGGCAUAGACAGCCAGGAGGUUGGCUUAGAAGCAGCCACCCUUUAAAGAAAGCGUAAUAGCUCACUGGUCGAGUCGGUCUGCGCGGAAGAUUUAACGGGGCUAAGCAGUGAACCGAAGCUUGGGGUGCGUAAAACUUCGGUUUUAUGCGCGGUAGAGGAGCGUUCCGUAAGCCUGCGAAGGUGGAUUGAGAAGUCUGCUGGAGGUAUCGGAAGUGCGAAUGCUGACAUGAGUAACGAUAAUGCGGGUGAAAAGCCCGCACGCCGAAAGCCCAAGGUUUCCUUGCGCAACGUUAAUCGACGCAGGGUUAGUCGGUCCCUAAGGCGAGGGCGAAAGCCGUAGUCGAUGGGAAGCAGGUUAAUAUUCCUGCACCUCGCGUGAGUGCGAUGGAGGGACGGAGAAGGUUAGGUGUACCGGGCGUUGGUUGUCCCGGGGAAAGGCGGUAGGUUUGGAUCUUUGGCAAAUCCGGGAUCCUUUAAGACCGAGCACCGAGACGAGCCUUUAUGGCGAAGUCACUGAUACCACGCUUCCAGGAAAAGCUCCUAAGCUUCAGCUCACGAAGACCGUACCGUAAACCGACACAGGUGGGUAGGAUGAGAAUUCUCAGGCGCUUGAGAGAACUCGGGUGAAGGAACUAGGCAACAUGGCACCGUAACUUCGGGAGAAGGUGCACCCUUUUUGGUGGCUCAUGCGAGCUAUAGCUGAAGAGGGUCGCAGAAACCAGGCCGCUGCGACUGUUUAUCAAAAACACAGCACUCUGCAAACACGAAAGUGGACGUAUAGGGUGUGACGCCUGCCCGGUGCUGGAAGGUUAAUUGAUGGGGUCAGCCGCAAGGCGAAGCUCUUGAUCGAAGCCCCAGUAAACGGCGGCCGUAACUAUAACGGUCCUAAGGUAGCGAAAUUCCUUGUCGGGUAAGUUCCGACCUGCACGAAUGGCGUAACGACAGCGGCGCUGUCUCCACCCGAGACUCAGUGAAAUUGAAAUCGCUGUGAAGAUGCAGCGUUCCCGUGGCAAGACGGAAAGACCCCGUGAACCUUUACUAUAGCUUUACACUGAACGUUGAGUUCGUCUGUGUAGGAUAGGUGGGAGGCUAUGAAACUGUGGCGCUAGCUGCAGUGGAGCCAACCUUGAAAUACCACCCUGUCGUGCUUGACGUUCUAACCUAGAUCCGUUAUCCGGAUCAGGGACCGUGUAUGGUGGGUAGUUUGACUGGGGCGGUCUCCUCCUAAAGAGUAACGGAGGAGCACGAAGGUACGCUCAGCGCGGUCGGACAUCGCGCACUGUGUGCAAAGGCAUAAGCGUGCUUGACUGCAAGAUCGACGGAUCAAGCAGGUACGAAAGUAGGUCUUAGUGAUCCGGUGGUUCUGUAUGGAAGGGCCAUCGCUCAACGGAUAAAAGGUACUCCGGGGAUAACAGGCUGAUACCGCCCAAGAGUUCAUAUCGACGGCGGUGUUUGGCACCUCGAUGUCGGCUCAUCACAUCCUGGGGCUGUAGUCGGUCCCAAGGGUAUGGCUGUUCGCCAUUUAAAGUGGUACGCGAGCUGGGUUCAGAACGUCGUGAGACAGUUCGGUCCCUAUCUGCCAUGGGCGUUGGAAGUUUGAGAGGGGCUGCUCCUAGUACGAGAGGACCGGAGUGGACGAACCUCUGGUGUUCCGGUUGUCACGCCAGUGGCAUUGCCGGGUAGCUAUGUUCGGAAGCGAUAACCGCUGAAAGCAUCUAAGCGGGAAGCGCGCCUCAAGAUGAGACUUCCCGGGGCACAAGCCCCCUAAAGGAACCAUAUAGACUAUGUGGUUGAUAGGUCAGGUGUGUAAGUACAGCAAUGUAUUGAGCUAACUGAUACUAAUGAUCCGUGCGGCUUGACC
rnacentral:rRNA from 1 species